AUGGCGCUCUCCUCCUCCAGGCCACACCACCUCCUCCGCCGCUUCCACGCUUCCGCGCGGGCUCUGUCGCGGGUGGAACCGCACGAGUUCUCGCAGCCCAGCGACUACCUCGGGAGCUGGGCGGAGCGCGCCCCCGCCACGGUCGCCGCGGGCGGCGGCGACACACGGGAGGCUUGGGCACGGCUCGAGCGGCUGCGCAAGGGGUACGCGCGCGAGGUGGGGGAGCUGCGGCGUCAGUACGCCUACGAGGCGCAACUGCUGGAGGCCGAGCGGCAGCGCAAGGCGGAGGCACGUGCCGAGGCCGCCCGCGUCGCCAACGAGGAGCGCAAGGCCGCCAAGGCUGCCGCCGCGCAGACCAGGGCCGCCGAGCGCCGCGCCUUCGAGCUCGAUUUCCGCCAGGCCCUCAUGAAAGAAAGAGCUCAGAAGCUGGAGAGCUGGAGGAACAAGGAGAAGCUGAAAGCACAGAAGAAGGCGGAGCACAGGGAGCUCUUGCGCAGGCAGAGUUCUGUCUGGGUUGCUGAGGAUAAAAUGGAAAAGAAAAUUCUUGAGGCUAUCAUGCAUACCACCCCUCUCUGA
rnacentral:rRNA from 1 species